AUUGAACGCCGGCGGCAGGCCUAACACAUGCAAGUCGAGUGAGCGGCGGACGGGUGAGGAAUGUAUGGGGACUGCCCGAUAGAGGGGGAUAACUACUGGAAACGGUAGCUAAUACCGCAUACUAUCGGAUAACCCAUAUGGGACUAGCUAGUAGGUGAGGUAAUGGAUAACCUAGACGACGAUCCCUAGCUGGUCUGAGAGGAUGAUCAGCCACACUGGGACUGAGACACGGGCCAGCCUCCUACGGGGGCAGCAGUGGGGAAUAUGGCAUAAUGGGCGCAAGCCUGACGCAGCCAUGCCGCGUGUAUGAAGAAGGCCCUAGGGUUGUAAAGUACUUUCAGUCGAGAGGCGUUACCGGCAGAAGAAGCACCGGCUCACUCCGUGCCAGCCGCCGCGGUAAUUC
rnacentral:rRNA from 1 species